GGGCCCGCACAAGCGGUGGAGUAUGUGGUUUAAUUCGAUGCAACGCGAAGAACCUUACCAGGGUUUGACAUCCUGCGAAUCUCUUGGAAACGAGAGAGUGCCUUCGGGAACGCAGUGACAGGUGGUGCAUGGCUGUCGUCAGCUCGUGUCGUGAGAUGUUGGGUUAAGUCCCGCAACGAGCGCAACCCACGUCUUUAGUUGCCAGCAUUAAGUUGGGCACUCUGAAAGAACUGCCAGUGAUAAGCUGGAGGAAGGUGGGGAUGACGUCAAGUCCUCAUGGCCCUUACGUGUUGGGCUACACACGUGCUACAAUGGCGAUGACAGUGGGCAGCGACCCCGCAAGGGUGAGCUAA
rnacentral:rRNA from 1 species